GGUGAACGCUGGCGGCGUGGAUUAGGCAUGCAAGUCGAAUGCAUUUAGUUGCAUGGCAGACGAGGUAGUAACACGUAGGUUACGUACCCAAGAGUCGAGCAUAACCAGUCGAAAGAUUGGAUAAUUCUCGAUAGUCCCUUCGGGGUAAAGAUUUAUCGCUCUUGGAACGACCUGCGGGAUAUCAGCUUGUUGGUAGUGUAAUGGACUACCAAGGCUAUGACGUCUAGGGGAGGUGAGAGCCUGACCCCCACCGAUGGGACUGAGACACGGCCCAUACUCCUACGGGAGGCCGCAGUCGAGAAUCUUCCGCAAUGGGCGAAAGCCUGACGGAGCGACGCCGCGUGAUUGAUGAAGUCUUUCGGGACGUAAAGAUCUUUUCUUGAGGACGAAGUUUAUUGACGGUACUCAAGGAAUAAGGGGCUCCUAACUCUG
rnacentral:rRNA from 1 species